rnacentral:rRNA from 2 species
UCUGAUGGAGCAACGCCGCGUGAGUGAAGAAGGUUUUAGGAUCGUAAAACUCUGUUGUUGGAGAAGAACAGGGACUAGAGUAACUGUUAGUCCUUUGACGGUAUCCAACCAGAAAGCCACGGCUAACUACGUGCCAGCAGCCGCGGUAAUACGUAGGUGGCAAGCGUUGUCCGGAUUUAUUGGGCGUAAAGCGAGCGCAGGCGGUUUUUUAAGUCUGAUGUGAAAGCCUUCGGCUUAACCGAAGAAGUGCAUUAGAAACUGGGAAACUUGAGUGCAGAAGAGGACAGUGGAACUCCAUGUGUAGCGGUGAAAUGCGUAGAUAUAUGGAAGAACACCAGUGGCGAAGGCGGCUGUCUGGUCUGUAACUGACGCUGAGGCUCGAAAGUAUGGGGAGCGAACAGGAUUAGAUACCCUGGUAGUCCAUACCGUAAACGAUGAAUGCUAAGUGUUGGAGGGUUUCCGCCCUUCAGUGCUGCAGCUAACGCAUUAAGCAUUCCGCCUGGGGAGUACGACCGCAAGGUUGAAACUCAAAGGAAUUGACGGGGGCCCGCACAAGCGGUGGAGCAUGUGGUUUAAUUCGAAGCAACGCGAAGAACCUUACCAGGUCUUGACAUCCUUUGACCACUGUAGAGAUACAGCUUUCCCUUCGGGGACAAAGUGACAGGUGGUGCAUGGUUGUCGUCAGCUCGUGUCGUGAGAUGUUGGGUUAAGUCCCGCAACGAGCGCAACCCUUAUGACUAGUUGCCAGCAUUUAGUUGGGCACUCUAGUAAGACUGCCGGUGACAAACCGGAGGAAGGUGGGGAUGACGUCAAAUCAGCAUGCCCCUUAUGACCUGGGCUACACACGUGCUACAAUGGUCGGUACAACGAGUUGCGAACCCGCGAGGGUAAGCUAAUCUCUUAAAGCCGAUCUCAGUUCGGAUUGUAGGCUGCAACUCGCCUACAUGAAGCCGG